UUUAUGUUCACCGUUACAUCUUCAUCAAUGACCCUCAUAAUUGACAUUAAAAAAGGUCACAAUCCUGGGAUCUCCUUCUGUAGACGUAACUAUAAAUAGUGAGCUGAGUUAUCAAUGUAAGGGAUACAAAUUUUCUGGCAAACAGAUAAUAUUGUCUAUACAAAGCUUAAUACAAUUUUAUCUUCUUGCGUUUUGAUUUCGUUGUUAUUGUGCCCGAAAACCCUGUUCCUA
rnacentral:lncRNA from 1 species